rnacentral:lncRNA from 1 species
UUGCAUAUACUUUUUUUCUAGGCAAAGUAUCUCUUAACUGCAUCUGAAUUCACAGGACGAGUGAAAUCCUCCCCAUCCAUUGUUGUAAGCAUCAAAGCACCGCCUGAAAAGGCUCUCUUAACAACAUAUGGACCCUCGUAGUUUGGAGUCCACUUGCCCCUGGAAUCGGGCGCGAAAGACAAAACUUUCUUGAGCACGAGGUCACCUUCUC